rnacentral:sRNA from 1 species
AUCUAAUUUCAUUUGAUUCGAUUCCACAUUAUUUAUCUCUAUUUAUAAGAUGAUUUUGAAUUUAUGUUGUCUUUCUACGCAUGCAGUCAUGAUUUAUAUUUAAUUUUUUCGUAUUUUGCUGUACCAAAAAGAAUAAAAUGAAUUCCAAUAAUGCUAGUGGUGGAUCCAACAUCUUAUUUUAAUUAGAUUGCGCCUUGUGUUAACUCAUGAUUAUCUAAUUAAAAAUUUAUGUUUGACUUUCUAUGCGUACAAUUAUGAUACAUGUAUAUGCAAUAUAUAUGCAAUGUUUUUAAUCAGUAUCGAAACAAACAAUUACAUUCCGAUGAUGUGUAUCUGACUUUUAUUACAAGUUAACAAGGUAUUAUAAUUUCACGAUCAUGAUUCUUAAGGUGAAAUAACACACCUGAAAAAAGUCACUCAAAUUAAUAGUCAAUUAUUUGAUUAUAAAAGAUAAUAUAUUGAAAAGUAAACUGUACAUAUGUCAAAUAUGCGAAAAAUUUGCAGUUUGGGGGUAUAAAAUGGAAUAUAUAAAAAGCCCCACGCUUUAUCCACUCGGCUAAAUAGUAAGUUAAAUGUACGUGUUGCCAUCGAUAAUAUCCUUUUUAUUUAAUAAAACGAAAUGUCGUUUCGAUGAGAGGUCGGUCAUAUUGUGAUGAUGUGUUAUUCCACCUUAAUGUCACUUGUGGGGUCAUAUUGAAUAGUUCCAAGUGCAUGUACAUGUAUGGUUACAUUCCUAUCCUUGUUUUUACAUUUGUUGGAAUUUUUGUUUUGGUAGAAUUUUGUAGUAAUUUGUGUAAGUAUGGUGCUACAAGUAGUUGGGUUUUCUAUUUACGAUAUUUCGCAAUUGUGUAUUAUAGUUUAAUUUACAUUCACGUACUUUUUGUAUAGUAUUUUACUUUUAAAUGUCAAUUUGUGUAUUUAUAAUACUUUUUUGCCCCUGGCCUGUAAAACACAAGUGAUGGAGUUUGUUCUUAAAUAUACAUGUAUUACAUGGAUGAAUCGCUUUCUUCUUUACAAUUUGAAGGUAGAUGUAUAAUUAUAUAUAAUGAAGAAAAAAAUAAACAUUUUAUACUAUC